rnacentral:rRNA from 1 species
AGAGUUUGAUCAUGGCUCAGGAUGAACGCUAGCUACAGGCUUAACACAUGCAAGUCGAAGGGAAACGACAUCGAAAGCUUGCUUUUGAUGGGCGUCGACCGGCGCACGGGUGAGUAACGCGUAUCCAACCUGCCCAUCACUUGGGGAUAACCUUGCGAAAGUAAGACUAAAUACCCAAUGACGUCUCUAGAAGACAUCUGAAAGAGAUUAAAGAUUUAUCGGUGAUGGAUGGGGAUGCGUCUGAUUAGCUUGUUGGCGGGGUAACGGCCACAAGGCGACGAUCAGUAGGGGUCUGAGAGGAAGGUCCCCCANAUUGGAACUGAGACACGGUCCCAAAACUCCUACGGGAGGCA